CGCGUAGGCGGCUAGAAAAGUCGGAUGUGAAAUUCCGGGGCUCAACCCCGGAGCUGCAUUUGAAACUCUCUAGCUAGAGUACAGUUAGGGUAAACGGAAUUCCACGUGUAGCGGUGAAAUGCGUAGAUAUGUGGAAGAACACCGGUGGUGAAGACGGUUUACUGGGCUGUAACUGACGCUGAGGCGCGAAAGCAUGGGGAAGCAAACA
rnacentral:rRNA from 1 species